AACGAACGCUGGCGGCAGGCUUAACACAUGCAAGUCGAGCGCCCCGCAAGGGGAGCGGCAGACGGGUGAGUAACGCGUGGGAAUCUACCCAUCUCUACGGAAUAACGCAUGGAAACGUGUGCUAAUACCGUAUACGUCCUUCGGGAGCAAGAUUUAUCGGAGAUGGAUGAGCCCGCGUUGGAUUAGCUAGUUGGUGGGGUAAAGGCCUACCAAGGCGACGAUCCAUAGCUGGUCUGAGAGGAUGAUCAGCCCAACUGGGACUGAGACACGGCCCAGACUCCUACGGGAGGCAGCAGUGGGGAAUAUUGGACAAUGGGCGCAAGCCUGAUCCAGCCAUGCCGCGUGAGUGAUGAAGGCCCUAGGGUUGUAAAGCUCUUUCACCGGUGAAGAUAAUGACGGUAACCGGAGAAGAAGCCCCGGCUAACUUCGUGCCAGCAGCCGCAGUAACAC
rnacentral:rRNA from 1 species